rnacentral:miRNA from 1 species
GCAGACACAUUCCAGUCAAUCAGCAGCAUACCCUCCCUCCGAGACCCUCCCACCUCCUGGACAGCAUCCAUUUUACAUUCAUUGUGAAGCUGUCCAGGAGGUGGGAGGGUCUGGGAGGGAGGGUCUGCUGCUGAUUGGCUGGAAUGUGUCUG